AAACCAUAAAUCGAGCAUUUUCUAAUUAAUUCCUUGAAAUGCCAUCAUGCCUUAUAUAAUGUCUCAUCUUCAGAUUUUCUAAAUGAUGUAAUGUCAUUCCUCAGCUU
rfam:Gossypium raimondii Chr13_contig_942, whole genome shotgun sequence.